AAGUAGUAAAACAUUAUAUUAAAACUCUAAUAUUGUGGCAGCAUUAAACUACCCCAAAGAAACUCGUUUUUUAAUCGACAACACUCGUUAAUCUUCACUUUAAUUCAUUCCAACAAAUCACUUCAGCUUAUAUACCGCCGUAUACGAUCUUAACAACUCAUAUUACUUUUCUUAACAUUUCCACUUAAAAUUCAGGUCAAGGUGUAGCCUAUGCUAAAGUUAAAAUGAGUCUCAUUCAAAAUCUAUGCACCAGAAAAAAAUCGUUCAAAAACAUUAAUCAAUAAGAAUUUGGAUUCACUUCUAUAAUAUUAUUUAAUUACGAAAAUACCGUUAAAUGUGU
rnacentral:rRNA from 1 species